rnacentral:rRNA from 1 species
UACGUAGGGGGCAAGCGUUGUCCGGAAUUAUUGGGCGUAAAGAGCUCGUAGGCGGUUCGGUAAGUCGGGUGUGAAAACUCUGGGCUCAACCCAGAGAGGCCACCCGAUACUGCUGUGACUAGAGUGCGGUAGGGGAGCGGGGAAUUCCUGGUGUAGCGGUGAAAUGCGCAGAUAUCAGGAGGAACACCGGUGGCGAAGGCGGGUCUCUGGGCCGAUACUGACGCUGAGGAGCGAAAGCGUGGGGAGCGAACAGG